UACGUAGGGGGCAAGCGUUGUCCGGAUUUAUUGGGCGUAAAGAGCUCGUAGGCGGCUCGGUAAGUCGGAUGUGAAACCUCCAGGCUCAACCUGGAGACGCCAUCUGAUACUGCCGUGGCUUGAGUCCGGUAGAGGAGCAGGGAAUUCCUGGUGUAGCGGUGAAAUGCGUAGAUAUCUGGAGGAACACCGGUGGCGAAGGCGGCGUUCUGGACUGCAACUGACACUGAAGAACGAAAGCCAGGGGAGCAAACGGG
rnacentral:rRNA from 1 species